rnacentral:rRNA from 1 species
GCUCAGAAACUCAAAGGAAUUGACGGGGGCCCGGCACAAGCGGUGGAGCAUGUGGUUUAAUUCGAUGAUACGCGAGGAACCUUACCUGGGCUCAAAUGUAUGUUGACGUAUUCUGAAAGGGAUACUUCUUCGGACAAUAUACAAGGUGCUGCAUGGUUGUCGUCAGCUCGUGCCGUGAGGUGUCGGGUUAAGUCCCAUAACGAGCGCAACCCCUAUCAUUAGUUGCCAUCAGGUCAAGCUGGGGACUCUAAUGAAACUGCCUACGCAAGUAGUGAGGAAGGUGGGGAUGACGUCAAAUCAGCACGGCCCUUACGUCCAGGGCUACACACGUGCUACAAUGGUCGGUACAAAGGGUUGCCAAGCCGCGAGGUGGAGCUAAUCCCAUAAAACCGAUCGUAGUCCGGAUCGCAGUCUGCAACUCGACUGCGUGAAGUCGGAAUCGCUAGUAAUCGUGAAUCAGAAUGUCACGGUGAAUACGUUCCCGGGCCUU